GACGUAGGAGGCGAGCGUUAUCCGGAUUCACUGGGCGUAAAGCGCAUGUAGGCGGUUGUGUAAGUCCGAUGUUAAAGCCCCUGGCUCAACUGGGGGAGGUCAUUGGAGACUACUCGACUUGAGGGCAACAGAGGCACGUGGAACUCCCGGUGUAGCGGUGGAAUGCGUAGAGAUCGGGAAGAACACCAGUGGCGAAGGCGACGUGCUGGGUUGCAACUGACGCUGAGGAGCGAAAGCCAGGGGAGCAAACGGG
rnacentral:rRNA from 1 species